UACGUAGGGGCCUAGCGUUGUCCGGAAUUAUUGGGCGUAAAGAGCUCGUAGGCGGUUCGGCAAGUCGGAUGUGAAAUCUCCACGCUUAACGUGGAGGGGCCAUUCGAAACUGCUGUGACUCGAGUCCGGUAGGGGAGUGUGGAAUUCCCGGUGUAGCGGUGAAAUGCGCAGAUAUCGGGAGGAACACCGGUGGCGAAGGCGGUUCUCUGGGCCUGUACUGACGCUGAGGAGCGAAAGCGUGGGGAGCGAACAGG
rnacentral:rRNA from 1 species